AUUGAACGCUGGCGGCAGGCCUAACACAUGCAAGUCGAGCGGUAGAGAGGUGCUUGCAUCUCUUGAGAGCGGCGGACGGGUGAGUAAUGCCUAGGAAUCUGCCUGGUGGUGGGGGAUAAACGUUCGGAAACGGACGCUAAUACCGCAUACGUCCUACGGGAGAAAGCGGGGGAUCUUCGGACCUCGCGCCAUUAGAUGAGCCUAGGUCGGAUUAGCUAGUUGGUGAGGUAAUGGCUCACCAAGGCGACGAUCCGUAACUGGUCUGAGAGGAUGAUCAGUCACACUGGAACUGAGACACGGUCCAGACUCUACGGGAGGCAGCAGUGGGGAAUAUUGGACAAUGGGCGAAAGCCUGAUCCAGCCAUGCCGCGUGUGUGAAGAAGGUCUUUCGGAUUGUAAAGCACUUUAAGUUGGGAGGAAGGGUAGUAACCUAUACGUUGCUACUUUGACGUUACCGACAGAAUAAG
rnacentral:rRNA from 1 species